GCCCCCACGGCCCAGCAUGGCCGAGCCAGAGCACUAGCCAAGAGUCGGCAGCUUUGUUCCAGGUGCCGGCUCCCUUUUUUUCAUUAGGCUAAUGGGAUGCGGAUGCAUUAUUCCAUUCCACAUGCUGCUAAUGAACCACUCAGGCCAGUGCAUUUGCAUUAAUGUGCAAAGCACUGGAGGAGGGUGGAGUGGCUGCAUCUGGCCAAGGCUGACCUUCCCUGCACCGCCCAGCCUCCCCAAGCCACGCUGCGCUCCCACCACACUCCCACCACCCCACCGGACCCAGGAACUCCUCGGGAUGGCUCCAAUGCACAUUCCAGGACACCACAACCAGCCCUGAGCCACCUCAUGCUUGCUGCCCAUGUUGCCCGUACCGUGCCUGGCCAACUCCACCACCCCUUCCCAUAUGGAUCACGGAUGAUGCCCCACUGCCAUACCCCCAUCCCCAAUGCAGAGGUGACCACAGCAUUCCUCCUGCGCUCUCCACUGCUCCCCAAAAAGUGACCACUCCCACCUCCUGCAAGGAAACCUGCUCGGCGUGUCCCUCCUUCCUGGUUGCUUGUACUGGGACCUCCCAGCACCACCCCAGAGCUGCCUUCCAGCACCCCAGGGGAGCAGGGGGCCGUCUCCUGAGCCCCCCCACCCCAGAGCUGGCAGGCAGCGUCGGGCGCGGGCGUCACUGGAGCCCUUGGGUUGUUUGUUACGGCUCCCAACUGCCUCUGUCCCUGGAGAGGUUUCGAAGGCGAGUGACCCACGAACUGGAAUGUGCAAAGCCUCCAGCAAACAGAGCCAGCUGCCUGCGCCCGCGCAGGGGGGUGGUGAGGGGAGAGCAGCCGGCCCCGCGCCACAGCACGGCACAGCACGGCACAGCACAGCACAGCACAGCACAGCACAGCACAGCACAGCCCAGCCCUGACACAACUGCGCAGCCCUCAUGUCCUCCUAAAGUGGGCAACCACCUGGCUGAGCCUGUCACUUGGCAGCACAUGGCCUCCCAGAGCUGUGCUGGGAUCAUGCUUCGCCCCUCGCCUGUCUGCAAAAUACAGGUCCUUGGGCGGCCAAAGGACCUUUAGGACAUGGGAGAACACAGUGGCACUGCCAGAUCCCUGCCUUGGUCUUUGCCACCUCCCCAGCUGCCAAAGGGCUCCCAGCUGGAAUCAGUGUGGAUGGGCACAGCUUUGCUUGCCCCGGGUGGGCAUGGCAGGGUCUCAGCAGCUCCGUGCCCGGCAAGUGUGCGAAGCCCCCGCGCCUGAGUGUGCGCACGCGGGUGUCUGGGUUUGUCACAGCCUGGUGAGCAAGUUAAUCUCAGGCUCCCUGACACGUGGAAUAAAAUCGCGAUCCCAUAA